AUACUAAUCACCUGGGGAUACUCUUAAGAUGCAGAUUCUGAUUCAGUGGAUCUGGAUUUUAGCCCAAGGUUCUGCACUUCUAACAAGUUCCCAGCUGAUGUUGAU
rnacentral:pre_miRNA from 1 species